rnacentral:lncRNA from 1 species
CAUCUGCUACAAGGAAACUUUAUCAACACUAAGAUACGCGGAAAGGGCUAAAAAGAUCCGGAACAAAGCAGUGGUCAACACCUGGACACUGAUGAGAGAGUCAAGGGCGGAGAACAGCAAGCUGCUGCCCAGAUGUAGACACUCCAUAAUGUCAGGAUGUUUUCCCUUACCGGAUUUGGACAGUGGCCACCUGAUGUCUGCCCGCUGAGGGCUUCCUGCGGCGAGAUGACGCCGGAAGCCCAUUGAGGGUUGGCCACCUCCUCCAAGACGGAGUUCCAUCCUGCCUGUGCAUCACAGCUGCCUGGUGACAGGGCUCCCCCCAACCUCAUAAACCGGAAUCCCAGGCAGCGGUCAGCCCUAAAUCCCCCAACCUCAUAAACCAGAACCCGGGCAGCCGUUAGCACUAAAGUGUCCCAGGUGAUUCCAACAUGCGCAAUUAUCCAGAGCCCCCAUGAUAGGUGAAGGCCUUCGAUUGCAGUUUGGCAGCAUAAAGGUAUAUAUCGUUUUAUGCU